UCCUUAAAAAUCUCCAACCAAAUACUCUCUAUUAACUCCAUGUAUACAUCUCCUCCCACAAUCUCAACAAACCGCCGUUCCUGCAGCUUUUCUUCCCUUGAAGAGUGUGGAGGAGAAACCCAGAGAGUUGUGAUCAUUUUCAAUACCUUCUCUUCUGCAGUUUUGCCUCUUCUGGGAGGGUGAGCUUGUGCACGUUGGUUGCGGUGGGAACAGAAAGUGUUUGAGGAGUAAGCUUUUGAGAUUGAGCGGCCAUGGACGUGGAGGAUGUUGAGCAGAGUUCAUGGAUUGUUUUUGUCAUGAUUAUUAAUUGUUGGAUUUGUCGUGUCUUCAUACUCGGCAUUUUCCGUGUCUUGAACGCUUCCGCUAAGAGUCAUUUUCUUUAGAAUUGUUUAU